UCCGCUAUUGCAAAGGAAUUGAAAAUGAAAAGACCAAAAUGUCAAAGAGUGUGUGGUAAUGUUAUGGUACACUCUCACAAACAAGAGCUCAUUAACAUCUUGAAGCAGAACAAGUUGAGCAUUCUUGUGGAUGAAUCCACAGAUAUAUCGGUCUGUCAGAAUUUAUGCAUCAUGCAACUGGACGAUGAGUGGAAGAGGCUUGCCGUAGAAGAUCUGCCUGAAUCCAUUACCAACAUGGCGAAAAAGUGGACAAAAGCAAUUACAACCAGCCUGAUAAAUUUUGGUGUGCCAUAAAAACUCUGGAGGAUAGUGAUGGAAACCCCAAGUUUAAGCUUGUUUCAGACCUUUCACUACGAUGUCUUUCUUUGCCUCAU